UACGUAGGGGGCAAGCGUUGUCCGGAUUUACUGGGCGUAAAGAGCGCGUAGGCGGACGCUUAAGUGUGGCCUGAAAGCCCCCGGCUCAACCGGGGAGGGUGGCUGCAAACUGGGCGUCUUGAGGGCGAUAGAGGAGAGCGGAAUUCCUGGUGCAGCGGUGAAAUGCGUAGAUAUCAGGAAGAACACCGAUGGCGAAGGCAGCUCUCUGGGACGGUACUGACGCUGAGACGCGAAAGCGUGGGGAGCGAACAGG
rnacentral:rRNA from 1 species